GCCAUAUCACAUUGAAACACCGCUUCUCGGAUGAUCACCAAAGUUAAGCAACGUUGAUCCUGGUCAGUACCUAGAAGGGUGACCGCUUGGGAAUACCAGGUGCUGUAA